rnacentral:lncRNA from 1 species
UUCGAAGUAGUAGCUGAGGUAGAGGAAUGUGGUAAAGUACUUGAAGGAGGAGAAUGAGACACCAUUGUAAGAGGUAUACAUACACACUACUACUAGACUGUUGAUUGGGUAUAGAAGUGGGAGAGACAGUGAAAGGAAACUUGGUCUCAUUAAAAACAACGUCAUGUGAAAUGUACAUUCUACCCGUAGAGGAGAGACACUUAUACCUAAAAAGGUACACUCGGCUGACCUAUACUAUAAUUUGUGUUUAGUAUAAGGUCUUAAAC